AUGGACCGACAUCAACCCCUACUGGUUAGUGCUUCCCCACUCUCACGGUCUCACCCAAGGGCAUCCGAGAUGAUGUUUGUCCACGAUGGCAGUGUGCUGGCCGGUUUCUUGGACUCAACAGGUAAGCUGUUUCAGAAGAGACUCUGUGAGGGGGAUGUGUUCAUCUUUCCCCGUGGUUUGGUUCACUUCAUCAUGAACUAUGGUCUCCGUCUUGCGACAACGUUCUCGAUGCUCAACAGUCAGAACCCUGGUGUGGUUGGCAUCACCCAUGCGAUGUUUUCAUCAGAUUUUGAUGUAGUUGAGGGGCUGAUGGGUAGAAUGAUGAAGUUCAGAGAGAUGGAAAUCCCUGGCAACAACACUGCUGAUUUUCCAUGGACUUACUAG
rnacentral:rRNA from 1 species